UACGUAGGGUCCAAGCGUUGUCCGGAGUUACUGGGCUUAAAGCGCGCGCAGGCGGCGGUGCUGGCCCGGCGUGAAAGCCCCCGGCUCAACCGGGGAGGGUCGUCGGGGACCGCACCGCUUGAGGGCGGUAGGGGCUGGUGGAAUGCCUGGUGUAGUGGUGAAAUGCGUAGAGAUCAGGCGGAACACCCGUGGCGAAGGCGGCCAGCUGGGCCGUCCCUGACGCUGAGGCGCGAAGGCGUGGGGAGCGAACGGG
rnacentral:rRNA from 1 species